UUUUUGAUGUGUAAACUUGCUCAGUGUGACCUGACGCAAACUUUAUUAAUGUUCUUAUUACUAUCUAGCAACAUAUAACAUUAUAUCUGACAACAUUACAAGUUUUGGCAACAUAAGAUUACAUAAAUAUCGAUAACAAUGUGAUUAAGCUCAGGUUAGCCCGCUCGGCCGAGUGGCUGCUGGUCCGGCCACCGAGGAUGCGUUGCCUGUGGAUUGGCUCGAUCAACCGAGUGGCUGCUGGUCCGGCCACCCGGGAUGCGUAUGGGUCUGGAGGAUGUUUUGACUUUUGAUGUGCGGAGAAUUUGGUUUGCUGCAGAUUUGGUUUUCAUUUUGUAGGUUUGGUGGCAAUUUGUCGGCAUUCCAGUUAAGUGAUUUUUUGUUUUUAUAUUUGUUGGCUUUUAAUGAAUAUAGUUAUUUUAUUUUCAAGUUGAUUCACUGGAUGUUGCGUUGGGAUGACUUCUGGCUGCUUACUUAGUUGCUGACAUACAUAUGUAAAUUUAUUA
rnacentral:sRNA from 1 species